rnacentral:sRNA from 2 species
UUUGCGUUAGGGAUAGCAGCGACAUCCUUUUUUUGAAAUGUAACGAAGUGGAAUUACAACAAAAGAUACAGCGGAAAGCCCGACCUGCA